rnacentral:rRNA from 1 species
UACGGAGGGUGCGAGCGUUGUCCGGAAUCAUUGGGCGUAAAGGGCGCGUAGGUGGCGGGACAAGCGUGCGGUGAAAGCUCGGGGCUCAACCCCGGGUCGGCCGUGCGAACUGUUUUGCUUGAGCACUGUAGAGGCAGGCGGAAUUCCGGGUGUAGCGGUGGAAUGCGUAGAGAUCCGGAAGAACACCGGUGGCGAAGGCGGCCUGCUGGGCAGUAGCUGACACUGAGGCGCGACAGCGUGGGGAGCAAACAGGG